UACGAAGGGGGCUAGCGUUGCUCGGAAUUACUGGGCGUAAAGGGAGCGUAGGCGGAUAGUUAAGUCAGAGGUGAAAGCCCAGGGCUCAACCUUGGAAUUGCCUUUGAUACUGGCUGUCUUGAGUAUGGGAGAGGUGUGUGGAACUCCGAGUGUAGAGGUGAAAUUCGUAGAUAUUCGGAAGAACACCAGUGGCGAAGGCGACACACUGGCCCAUUACUGACGCUGAGGCUCGAAAGCGUGGGGAGCAAACAGG
rnacentral:rRNA from 1 species